CGAACCGACACUGUCAUUCAUAGUUAAUUAAAGAAAAGAAGCAGCAUUGCGGACCGGCCAUGAUGCUGAAAAUUUAUUAAUUGAUUCCAUGGGAGACGAAAUCCAAGUGGAUUGAUACACCUAACUGGUGCCACCAAAAGAGGGGAACUUCCAUGGAUGGAGAGUGUGUGAGGUACCAACAACAAAUCUCCCGCCAGCCAUUUAUGACCAACAAGGUAAGUGCAUUUCCUCUUCCGAUUCUGGUUUGUGUGGCGUACUUGAGAAAUGUAAGCGAAAUAGAAAAAGAGCUGUAAUAAAGGGCAAAGCUCACACGAGCAGCACCGUGUACCGCUGAGUAUUCUGCUCAGCUUUUCGAGCGGAAAGCUGUCAAGCUCCAUAUAAAAAAACAUCGACCAAGUGUAAACUGAAAACUGGCCGAAAAGUAGUACUCGGUUUAUGGUGCGGAAAGUGGCGAAAAAAAAGCUAAAGCAGCAACACUUGAAAACUUUGCCGGCAUCAUUCUUCUAUGCCUCAUCGGUCUUAAUGACUCGUUUGCA